rnacentral:lncRNA from 1 species
AUCCCACUUUCACUUUAUUGGACAAGCCUUCAAAUAUACCAACUCCACAGUAACAAUUCAUUAUAUUAGACGUGCAGAAUCUCAAGGCUCAGAACUGCUGAGUCAUAAUCUGUUGCUUAACAGGAGUCCCAGGUGAUUUGGGUACACAUUAAAGUAGCACUGGACUAAAACUCAGAAAGGUUUAGUGGCUUUCCCAGGUUUCCAGAGCAAUGUGGUAGCCCACUUGGGACAAGGCUCUGGAGACUCCAAGAAAUGCUUUUCUUAAUGCUUCACUC